rnacentral:rRNA from 1 species
AACGUAGGACGCAAGCGUUAUCCGGAGUUACUGGGCGUAAAGGGCGGGCAGGCGGUCUCGCAAGUGGGAUGUGAAAGCUCCCGGCUUAACCCGGGAACUGCGUCCGAUACUGACAGGCUUGAAUCCGGGAGAGGGAUGCGGAAUUCCAGGUGUAGCGGUGAAAUGCGUAGAUAUCUGGAGGAACACCGGUGGCGAAGGCGGCAUCCUGGACCGGCAUUGACGCUGAGGCGCGAAAGCUAGGGGAGCAAACGGG